GGAGACCAGGAGUUUUAUUUUUAUAUUUUUUUUUUUAGCUAGGGUUCGUUUUCACUGAAACGUCCUCAUACAGAGAUCUCUCCCCGCAAACCCUCUUCACAGUGGGACCGAGGACAUUUGAGGCAAAUGUCCAGUAGGAACUCCAACCCACCCUGUAUGAAUUAUCAUGUGUCUGUUCAGGGUGCUUUUUCAUCCAAACCUUUUA